rnacentral:rRNA from 1 species
UUGAAUAGCAAGACAAUCCUCUUAAACAUUAAUAUUAAGCAAAGCAGGGUCGGGCCUGGUUAGUACUUGGAUGGGAGACCUCCUGGGAAUACCGGGUGCUGUAGGCU